UCCGGUUUGUCACCGGCAGUCUCCCUAGAGUUCCCACCCAAAGUGCUGGCAACUAGGGACAAGGGUUGCGCUCGUUACGGGACUUAACCCAACAUCUCACGACACGAGCUGACGACAGCCAUGCAGCACCUGUCACUCGGUUCCCGAAGGCACCAAUCCAUCUCUGGAAAGUUCCGAGGAUGUCAAGCCCUGGUAAGGUUCUUCGCGUUGCGUCGAAUUAAACCACAUGCUCCACCGCUUGUGCGGGCCCCCGUCAAUUCAUUUGAGUUUUAACCUUGCGGCCGUACUCCCCAGGCGGUCAACUUAGUGCGUUAGCUGCGCCACUAAGGAUUCAAGAUCCCCAACGGCUAGUUGACAUCGUUUACGGCGUGGACUAC
rnacentral:misc_RNA from 1 species